CCUACGGGAGGCAGCAGUGGGGAAUAUUGCACAAUGGAGGAAACUCUGAUGCAGCGACGCCGCGUGAGUGAAGAAGUAUUUCGGUAUGUAAAGCUCUAUCAGCAGGGAAGAAAAUGACGGUACCUGACUAAGAAGCACCGGCUAAAUACGUGC
rnacentral:rRNA from 1 species